rnacentral:rRNA from 1 species
AUGCAGAGGCAGCAGUCAGAGGAGGCAAGACGCGGGACUUGCAGCAGCGGGGCAGGGAAACAGCGGCCAGGAGCAGACAGGGACAGGCGGGAUCCGGCCACGGGGGCGCCGGAUCUGACCGGAGGCGAGACGGAGGCAACCCGCGACGAAGCUUGGGGCGGCAUCCAUGGUGCGGUUGUUCAGAGAAGCAAAGGGGGGUUUCAGAGAUACGGGAAAAGAGAUAGGAUGCAGAGAAGGGUAAGGAAAAGGGACGACCGGAGGUGCUGUCCUGGGGGCGACGGAGUCCGACGAGGACGAGGUCUGGAGUAG